AGGUACAUUCUAUAGCCAAAAUAUCGACAUUUUAGUGCUUGUCUUUACAACCAUUUUGCGAAUUUUUACUGAAGAAUUACAUAAUUUGAUGAAUGAAAUGCCUAUUGAAAAUGAUUUAGCUCUCCUUUGAAGUAUAUAUCUUGAAAAACAAAUGCCAACUUGUACCCGAAAAUCCGGACAGAAGACAGAAAAAAAUAUUUUUAGGCGGUCAUAUUUUUUCAAAAUCGACAGCUGCUACAUUCAAGCAUUAUUCUGCCUAAAAUUGUGACCAAAACGUACCUAGAUAAUAUAUCUACUUCCUGCGAGCAAUCAAUUUUUAAAUAAAUUUGAUGAAAGUGUCUUUUAUAGUCGAUAAUUUCAGAUAAUUUUUAUUUUCUCUUUUUUUCAUGCAGACAUCAUCAUUUCACAACUAAUUCGAGAUAAACAUGCGUAUCUAUGACAAAAAUCCAUACUAUCAUUACAUGGGCAAUACACAUAAAAGUCAGAUGUGUCAAUUUUAUUUUUAGAAACGGUUGCAGUCACAAAGUAAUUGACAGAAUAAAAUGUAACUUUCAGCAUAUUUUUUCACACAAAAAUGUGUUAGUGCGUAGAAAUGUGAUCAGGCUGAGCACAUGGCCUUAUGGAUUUCAUGAUUUUCGGCGCUUAACGUGAAAACAGUUAAAGCACAGGAUUCACAAACAUUAAAUUUAUGCUUAAAUCUAUAUGCGAUACAUUAUGCAUAUAAUUAUAAUUCACGAUAAUAUCGCAUAUGGAAGUAACUGGAAUAAAUUUGGACUAUUUCCUUCGGAAGUUUACAGGACUGUCCUGUCAAAAGGCCUCCCUCGUGUUUACAUAUUUUGACAGGUCGAGUUGUUCUGGGACUAGGAACAAUGAUGAAUGAAUACCUGCACCAUGGAAACAAUGUCAUUUGCAAACUUUUUGAACUUGUGCUGGGCGUUCACAUUGACAUUUCUUGUUCAACAGGAAUACAUGAUGUCGACCAACAGUACAGCUAGGUAAAUGUCAAUGUUCUAUAUAUA